rnacentral:rRNA from 1 species
AACGAACGCUGGCGGCAGGCUUAACACAUGCAAGUCGAACGAGAAGCUACCUUCGGGUAGUGGAAAGUGGCAGACGGGUGAGUAACGCGUGGGAAUAUACCUAGAGGUACGGAACAACGCCGGGAAACUGGUGCUAAUACCGUAUGUGCCCUUCGGGGGAAAGAUUUAUCGCCUUUAGAUUAGCCCGCGUUAGAUUAGCUUGUUGGUGAGGUAAAAGCUCACCAAGGCGACGAUCUAUAGCUGGUCUGAGAGGAUGAUCAGCCACACUGGGACUGAGACACGGC